rnacentral:rRNA from 1 species
UAGGGAAUAUUGCGCAAUGGGCGAAAGCCUGACGCAGCGACACCGUGUGAAGGAUGAAGGUCUUCGGAUCGUAAACUUCUGUCAAUUGGAGACGAAGGUAAUAAGGUUAAUAGCCUCUAUUACUGACGGUACCCAAUAAGGAAGUCUCGGCUAACUCCGUGCCAGCAGCCGCGGUAAGACGGAGGAGGCAAGCGUUGUCCGGAAUCAUUGGGCGUAAAGAGCGCGUAGGCGGUUUUUCAAGUCAUAUGUGAAAACUUCAGGCUUAACCGGAGGAUGGAAUAUGAAAAUGGAUGACGUGAGUACAGGAGAGGAAAGUGGAAGUCCUGGUGUAGCGGUGAGAUGUGCAGAUAGCAGGAAGAACAGCAGUGGCGAAGGCGACUGUGUGGACUGUUAAUGACGCUGAGGCGCGAAAGCUAGGGGAGCGAACAG